AGAGUUUGAUCCUGGCUCAGGAUGAACGCUGGCGGCGUGCCUAAUACAUGCAAGUCGAGCGAACGGACGAGAAGCUUGCUUCUCUGAUGUUAGCGGCGGACGGGUGAGUAACACGUGGAUAACCUACCUAUAAGACUGGGAUAACUUCGGGAAACCGGAGCUAAUACCGGAUAAUAUUUUGAACCGCAUGGUUCAAAAGUGAAAGACGGUCUUGCUGUCACUUAUAGAUGGAUCCGCGCUGCAUUAGCUAGUUGGUAAGGUAACGGCUUACCAAGGCAACGAUGCAUAGCCGACCUGAGAGGGUGAUCGGCCACACUGGAACUGAGACACGGUCCAGACUCCUACGGGAGGCAGCAGUAGGGAAUCUUCCGCAAUGGGCGAAAGCCUGACGGAGCAACGCCGCGUGAGUGAUGAAGGUCUUCGGAUCGUAAAACUCUGUUAUUAGGGAAGAACAUAUGUGUAAGUAACUGUGCACAUCUUGACGGUACCUAAUCAGAAAGCCACGGCUAACUACGUGCCAGCAGCCGCGGUAAUACGUAGGUGGCAAGCGUUAUCCGGAAUUAUUGGGCGUAAAGCGCGCGUAGGCGGUUUUUUAAGUCUGAUGUGAAAGCCCACGGCUCAACCGUGGAGGGUCAUUGGAAACUGGAAAACUUGAGUGCAGAAGAGGAAAGUGGAAUUCCAUGUGUAGCGGUGAAAUGCGCAGAGAUAUGGAGGAACACCAGUGGCGAAGGCGACUUUCUGGUCUGUAACUGACGCUGAUGUGCGAAAGCGUGGGGAUCAAACAGGAUUAGAUACCCUGGUAGUCCACGCCGUAAACGAUGAGUGCUAAGUGUUAGGGGGUUUCCGCCCCUUAGUGCUGCAGCUAACGCAUUAAGCACUCCGCCUGGGGAGUACGACCGCAAGGUUGAAACUCAAAGGAAUUGACGGGGACCCGCACAAGCGGUGGAGCAUGUGGUUUAAUUCGAAGCAACGCGAAGAACCUUACCAAAUCUUGACAUCCUUUGACAACUCUAGAGAUAGAGCUUUCCCCUUCGGGGGACAAAGUGACAGGUGGUGCAUGGUUGUCGUCAGCUCGUGUCGUGAGAUGUUGGGUUAAGUCCCGCAACGAGCGCAACCCUUAAGCUUAGUUGCCAUCAUUAAGUUGGGCACUCUAAGUUGACUGCCGGUGACAAACCGGAGGAAGGUGGGGAUGACGUCAAAUCAUCAUGCCCCUUAUGAUUUGGGCUACACACGUGCUACAAUGGACAAUACAAAGGGCAGCGAAACCGUGAGGUCAAGCAAAUCCCAUAAAGUUGUUCUCAGUUCGGAUUGUAGUCUGCAACUCGACUACAUGAAGCUGGAAUCGCUAGUAAUCGUAGAUCAGCAUGCUACGGUGAAUACGUUCCCGGGUCUUGUACACAC
rnacentral:rRNA from 1 species